GGGCAGCCAUAAAGAGCAAGGAGGUGCUGAAGCCGGGGGUGCCCUAAGAGGGGCUGCGGCUGCAAUCCCCACCUGUGAUUGGUUCUCAGACUCAGGCCAAACUCCAAACCCGCCCAGCAACAGCCCUAAGAGGCCCUAAGCGGGAGGGGAACUUCGGAGAAGUCAGCUGAGCUGGGGCCACCACCCAUGCUGCAGCUUCCAGGAAUCGCUGGGAGGGCCCCAGCUAGUCACUGCCACCCCCGCCCUCGGUCUUGGGACUCCGCCUUCUGCCCUCUGUAUCUACUGGGCUGGAGCAGAUCCCAUUUCCCUGAUCCCCCACAUCUCUGAUCCCCUUACAGGUUCACCCAGAGACAGAAGAAUAGGUCUGAUAGCUCCUCUUAAGGCAGAACAGAGACACCGAGACUGCGCUUGCCCUUUUCCUCACUCCUUCCCCCAGGACACAGGGACCCCCAGGAAAUCCGGCUUCCAGAAGCAGAGACCUGGAACUCAGACCUCAGAAUUGCAGAGGUCCGUACUGUGGAAUAAGCUGCCCGCUCUCAUACCACCUCUAGCAAGCUAUUUACCUUGAGCGAUGACAAGACCGCAGGAAGGGAGACUAGCAUGAUACAUCUCUGAAGAAUGUCUCUGGCAGGACAUCCAGUACUGCCUUGGCUCCACCCUCGACCCCGCCCUAAGUCCCCUAGAGCCAGAUCAGGCCAGGCUCCUCCUCCUCCGGUCCUUUCCGCGGAGGGAAGCAGGGAGGGGCAGAAGUCACUUCCUUUCCCCCACCCUAGCAAAAGCAAUAAACCGAGAGCUUAAUGCGGAAAUGGGUGAGGGCAGAAAAAAUGGGUGAAGCACGCAGGGAGGGCCAAAGAAAGAGAACAGGAGAAAAGACCCCUGCAAAGCCAACUGCUAUUCAGCUCAGCCCCAGACUGAAAGCAGAGCUACUGGAUUCGAAGAGACUUUACAGAAAGACUCAGUCUAUGGAGAAACCCACCACAGGCCAUGCAGUUUUUUCCUCAGCGCUGGAACCAAGCUCCCAACUCCAUACCUAAAGUGGGAGAAGUGGCGACCUCUAGUGGUCGAUGGCCAACCUGCAGGGCCUACGGUUGGCCAGGAUCCUCCCCGGGGAUUGGGGCUCACUUAACACCCUAUCUGGGCCCAGACUCUCUCCGCCUGGGCUAUAGGUACUAUUCCCCCUUCCCACCACUCAUUCUGACCUCACACUGCUUGUUUAGGGCCCAGGUGGAUGGGUUCCCAUUAGGACAAUAAAGAGCCUGUUUCUCA